rnacentral:misc_RNA from 1 species
UUUCCGUAGGUGAACCUGCGGAAGGAUCAUUAAAAAUAGGACUUCCAAUGGGAGUUCAUUAAUAAUCCUACCCUUUGUGAAUUUGUUUGUUUGAAAUAAUUUUUUUUCCAAAAAAAUUAUUGAAUGUCUUUCCCUGUUUUUGGUUGAAGCGUAAAAGUGGAGACCAAGCAGGGGAAUGGCGAACAUUAAUUUUUUUGAAAAAAGACCUUUUUUUAAAAUUAAACUUUUUGUAUUCAUUUGUCUAAAAUUAUUUUUAUAAUAUAAAAACAACUUUUGACAAUGGAUCUCUUGGUUCUCGCAACGAUGAAGAACGCAGCAAAAUGCGAUAAGUAGUGUGAAUUGCAGAAUACGUGAAUCAUCGAAUCUUCGAACGCAUAUUGCACUUUUUAGUUUACUAAAAAGUAUGUCUGUUUGAGUAUCAGUAAAAUAUUCUCAUAAAAAACUUUUUUUGUUUUUUAUGGUUAUGAGUGUUUUACAACGAUAAACAAGUUGUUUCACUUUAAAUUCUUUGAAAUUUAAAAAAUCGUUAAAACUAAUUUUAAAUGAUUUUUAAAAUUGGAUAAAAUUUUCCCGUAAAAAAGGAAUAACCUAAACAAUUUUAAAAAAUUUAAAAUUGGUUGAUUUUUUUAACCCAAAAGGAAAAAAGUAAAAAUUAACUUGAUCUCAAUCAGAUAAGAGUACCCGCUGAACUUAAGCAUAUCAAUAAGCGGAGGAAAAGAAACUAACUAGGAUUCCCUCAGUAACGGCGAGUGAAGCGGGAAGAGCUCAAAUUUGAAAUCUUCAAGGUUCUACCUUGACGAAUUGUAGUUUAAAGAAGUGUUUUCUGUUGGAAUAGUUUGGUAUAAGUUCUUUGGAAUAGGACAUCAUGGAGGGUGAGAAUCCCGUAACGACCAUUUAUUCCAGCUCUGUGAUACACUUUCAAAGAGUCGGAUUGUUUGGGAAUGCAGUCCAAAAUGGGUGGUAAAUUUCAUCUAAAGCUAAAUAUUGGCGAGAGACCGAUAGCGAACAAGUACCGUGAGGGAAAGAUGAAAAGAACUUUGAAAAGAGAGUUAAACAGUACGUGAAAUUGUCAAAAGGGAAGCGUUUGACACCAGUGUUGUUUUCUCGAAAAUCAAUUAAAAAUGGCUUGAUUUUGUGUAAGGCGACCUUAUCAGCGUUUUGCACUCUUUUCUUGUCCUUUUUUAAUGCACUUUUCGUUUAACAAGUCAACAUCAAUUUCUUUUGUUGUAAAAGAGUCAUUGGAAGGUGGCUUUCUUUUCGGAGAAAGUGUUUAUAGCCUUUGGCUUCUGCAAUCGGAGAGAUUGAGGUCUGCAGCGUAGAUCCUUCGGGGUUAGAUGCAUUAGUGCUAAGUUAUAGCCUUUCAUAGACAACUUGUUGACUAUGAUCAGUCAUGUAGCUUACUCGCUGAUGUUAUUUUACCUACGCUUAGGAUGUUG